UCCCAUUCCGAACACGGAAGUUAAGCUCAUUCACGUUGAAGAUACUUGGCUGGCGACGGCCCGGGAAACUAAAUCAGUGCCGACA
rnacentral:rRNA from 1 species